rnacentral:misc_RNA from 1 species
AGCAGCCGCGGUAAUUCCAGCUCCAAUAGCGUAUAUUAAAGUUGUUGCAGUUAAAAGCUCGUAGUUGAAUUUCGGGAUUGACGUGAUGGUCGUGCCUUACGGGGUAUGAACUGUUGCUGUUGAUUUCUCACCUUCUGGAGAAACUUGAUGUCCUUAAUUGGGUGUCUUGCGGAUCCAGGACCUUUACCUUGAAAAAAUUAGAGUGUUUAAAGCAGGCAUUUUGCUCGAAUACAUUAGCAUGGAAUAAUAGAAUAGGACGGCAUGGUUCUAUUUUGUUGGCUUCUAGGAUCACCGUAAUGAUUAAUAGGGAUAGUUGGGGGCAUUAGUAUUCAAUUGUCAGAGGUGAAAUUCUUGGAUUUAUUGAAGACUAACUACUGCGAAAGCAUUUGCCAAGGAUGUUUUCAUUAAUCAAGAACGAAAGUUAGGGGAUCGAAGACGAUCAGAUACCGUCGUAGUCUUAACCAUAAACUAUGCCGACUAGGAAUCAGACGAUGUUAAUUUUUUAAUGACUCGUUUGGCA